UACGUAGGGCGCAAGCGUUGUCCGGAAUUAUUGGGCGUAAAGAGCUCGUAGGCGGUUUGUCACGUCGGGUGUGAAAGCCCGGGGCUUAACCCCGGGUCUGCAUUCGAUACGGGCAGACUGGAGUGUGGUAGGGGAGAUCGGAAUUCCUGGUGUAGCGGUGAAAUGCGCAGAUAUCAGGAGGAACACCGGUGGCGAAGGCGGGUCUCUGGGCCGAUACUGACGCUGAGGAGCGAAAGCGUGGGGAGCGAACAGG
rnacentral:rRNA from 1 species